UUCAGUUCCUGUUUUCAACUGCUUCGUUUGCCAAGGGUACUGUUUAUGGGUACUGGACAAAGAAUGAAUCAGUGACUGAGAUUGAUAGAGAGGAGAUGCAGUAAAUGGGUUGAUUCAAUAUUCACCAAUAUGUCUUAUUGAAUGAAAAUUGUCUUACCAUCCACCAAAGUAUAUUUUUGAGUUUAAUGUUAAAUUAAAUAAAUUGGUUUCUUACCCAUUUCAAGACGUGAACGAUGUUAGUUUUCACAUUGUUCGCGCUAGUAUUGUGUACAAUCAUUUUUAAAUCAAUGAAUAACUUUUUAUAGGAUUAUUG
rnacentral:sRNA from 1 species